AUUUGAAUAAUAUAUGUAAAUAAUAAGAUGGCUGAUGGAGAAGGUGAUUUGAACGACGAAUUAACAGUAAAGUUGCUGCAUUUCCAAGAAAUCACCCACACAGAUGAUUUAGAAGAAUGCAAGAAAUUAUUAAUCGAACAUGAUUGGGAUAUUGAGAAGGCCGUGCAAGCCAAGUUUAAUGAAGGGACGAACCAGCGACCCCCACCCAUGGUAUGUUUGAUGUAGACCCCCCC